rfam:Eucalyptus grandis cultivar BRASTZ1 unplaced genomic scaffold scaffold_11, whole genome shotgun sequence.
AUUGCAGUGAUGAGAUUAAGGCACCCGAGGGGGUGUCGAUGGGCAGUGGAUCAAUCCGUGAGCCCGAAUUUAUAAAACGACUUCUCCUUCCACUGAGCAAC